GGAAGUAAAAGUCGUAACAAGGUUUCCGUAGGUGAACCUGCGGAAGGAUCAUUAACGAAUUUAAUUAUCAUCUUAUUAUGUGAACUUUUAAUCCCUUUGUGGAUUAGAAAUGCUUCGGUGCUGGGUAAAAAUUUAUAUUUUUACCAGGCGCCGGUAGAAAACUCAUUUAAACUUUAUGUCUAAACUAAAAAUUUUAAUAAAUUAAAACUUUCAACAACGGAUCUCUAGGUUCUCGCAUCGAUGAAGAACGCAGCGAAAUGCGAUACGUAUUGUGAAUUGCAGAUUUUUGUGAAUCAUCGAAUCUUUGAACGCACAUUGCACCUGGUGGUAUUCCGCCAGGUAUGCCUGUUUGAGCGUCAUUUCUCUCUCACUCCGGUGGUUUUGCUGUUUAUCAUUUUUUCGGAAAUGUACAGUGAAAAGAAAUGGCAAGGCUCUAGUUCUUACGAAAUGUUUUAGGUUCUACCAACUACAUUCUCUAAGUUCUAAUAAAGUCGGCUUGAUAAUUCUUUCAAUGUUGACCUCAAAUCAGGUAGGACUACCCGCUGAACUUAAGCAUAUCAAUAAGCGGAGGAA
rnacentral:misc_RNA from 1 species